rnacentral:rRNA from 1 species
AGAGUUUGAUUCUGGCUCAGAUUGAACGCUGGCGGCGUGCUUAACACAUGCAAGUCGAACGUGAAAGUCCUUCGGGACGAGUAAAGUGGCGCACGGGUGAGUAACGCGUGGAUAAUCUACCCUUAAGAUGGGGAUAACGGCUGGAAACGGUCGCUAAUACCGAAUACGCUCCCGAUUUUAUCAUUGGGGGGAAAGAUGGCCUCUGCUUGCAAGCUAUCGCUUAAGGAUGAGUCCGCGUCCCAUUAGCUAGUUGGCGGGGUAACGGCCCACCAAGGCAACGAUGGGUAGCCGGUCUGAGAGGAUGACCGGCCACACUGGAACUGGAACACGGUCCAGACUCCUACGGGAGGCAGCAGUGGGGAAUAUUGCGCAAUGGGCGAAAGCCUGACGCAGCGACGCCGCGUGAGGGAUGAAGGUUCUCGGAUCGUAAACCUCUGUCAGGGGGGAAGAAACCCCCUCGUGUGAAUAAUGCGAGGGCUUGACGGUACCCCCAAAGGAAGCACCGGCUAACUCCGUGCCAGCAGCCGCGGUAAUACGGAGGGUGCAAGCGUUAAUCGGAAUCACUGGGCGUAAAGCGCACGUAGGCGGCCUGGUAAGUCAGGGGUGAAAUCCCACAGCCCAACUGUGGAACUGCCUUUGAUACUGCCAGGCUUGAGUACCGGAGAGGGUGGCGGAAUUCCAGGUGUAGGAGUGAAAUCCGUAGAUAUCUGGAGGAACACCGGUGGCGAAGGCGGCCACCUGGACGGUAACUGACGCUGAGGUGCGAAAGCGUGGGUAGCAAACAGGAUUAGAUACCCUGGUAGUCCACGCU